rnacentral:rRNA from 1 species
AUGAUGAGGAAGGAACAUGCCUUAGCAUUGUGUAGCAAUGAAGCACAGAUAUUCAAAUGUGCCUCUCCUGAUGCAGCAUGCUACAUAUCAAGAAAGCGUGGACAUGUUGGGUCAGCAUUUUGUGCACAUCCUGGUCAUGAAUCUGAUAGAGUUGUCCUUUCAAAGGAUGUAUCUCUCUUAGAUUUUCCGGGAAUGGGUUUGGAUGAAGCUUUAACCAUUCUACCAUCAACGUCUGCAAACAGUAACAUCGGAGCAUUAUCCACCAGGAUCAGUAAUAUGUGUACUGCAGUAUAUGAGUAUCAUGCUCCUGCUGAAAUGAUAAUUAUGGAUAGCUGUAUCCAUGAAGAUCAGGGUACUGAAAAAACCGUUUUAACUAUACAAGGACGUGUUCUAAAGGGGGUUCUCAAGAAAAAACAGCAGCUAGAAAUUCGUCCUGGAUCAUUUAGUCACGAUGACAAUGGUCAAAUCAUGUGCAAUCCGGUCAUUAUCAAUGUAGCAACUCUAGAUUCAAUUGGUGGUAAUGAUCAGUUGGAGCAAGCAGCCGCUGGUGAUAUGAUUACAGUCAGGAGUAAUAUUGAUUAUGAGCAAAUCGGUGGUAUUGUUGCAGACAUGAGUGGCUUUGUUAUUGGUCAUGUGGAUAGUUUGCCUGAUGUACUCUCAGCACUGAAGCUUAAAGUUAUUCUUCUGCCACUGAUGUUUGACUCGUACACGGAAGAUUUUAAGGAGGUCUCAAUUAUUGAGAAAGGUGAGGUACUGUUGGUGACCGUUGGAAUGUUAUCAGCAGCGGCAGAAGUACGUAAAGUCGUGGAUGAGACUACUGUUGUUGUUACUCUCAAAUCACCCAUCUGUGCAAGGAAAGAAGACAAAGUGCUUCUUCUCAGAUCUGCUAAUGUGUGUUGGCGUUUAAUAGGCCAUGGCCAAAUAGAGGAUGCUACUGUUAUCAAAAUUGGCAAAGCUAUUCAUGGUUAA